rnacentral:rRNA from 1 species
GACAGAGGUCCCGAGCGUUAGGCGGAAUCACUGGGCUUAAAGCGUGUGUAGGCGGAUCGUUAAGUACCUUGUGAAAUCCCACGGCUCAACCGUGGAACGGCUGGGUAUACUGCCUGUCUUGAGCCAGCUAGGGGCGACCGGAACAGACGGUGGAGCGGUGAAAUGCGUAGAUAUCGUCUGGAACGCCAAAGGUGAAAACAGGUCGCUGGGGCUGAGCUGACGCUGAGACACGAAAGCCAGGGGAGCGAACGGG